rnacentral:lncRNA from 1 species
CAUUCAUUCAUUAAUUAAUUCUUCAAAUAUUCAGGUGAUAACUGCUAUAUAGAACACACUAUGCCAGAUACAGGGAGGACACUAAAGGAUUAAUGGUACCAGAUCCCUGAUCAUGAAUUUACAAUCUGACUUGCAAAACAGACCCUCUGAAGCUUUCCUGCCUGCAGUUACUUUGGCACAGAGUUCUCCAGCCACCAGAUCAUGGCUGAAAUCAUGGCAAAUCAAUCCUCUUCUUAGAUGCAGAUUUGGGACAUAUGAGGAAGAGGAUGUGAUGACCCCUCCAUAUUGGACUUGGAAACUAGAGUCAAUCUUUGGUGCUAACAGCCUCCCCCUUUCUCAAGAAGUCAGACAACAUGGUAUAGACUGUGCAUAUAUUAUCAUAUUAUACAUAUUUCCCUGUUUAUUGGGUUCUGAAACAAGAUAUAUUGCUUACACUAGACAAAAAUUCAUGGAAGAAAUAAAGUGAAGAGUGGUAUAUUUCAAUAUGGUUCCUUUUAUGAUAGAAGAUAGCCUCUUUCCUUGUGAGUCAUGUGAAGUCCUGUGUCCUUGCCUUGUUGGUAAUACUUAAGUCAUUCAUAUUUUGUCAUCAUGAGCUACUUUUGUAAUUGUAUGCAAUGCUGUCUUGGUUCUCCCCACUUCACUCUGGAUCACUAAAACUUUCCAGGUUUU